AUUGAACGCUGGCGGCAGGCCUAACACAUGCAAGUCGAACGAGUGGCGGACGGGUGAGUAAUGUCUGGGAAACUGCGUGAUGGAGGGGGAUAACUAGUGGAAACGGUAGAUAAUACCACAUACAAUCAGAUGUGCAGAGAUGGUAUUAGCUAGGUGGUGGGGUAACGGAUCACCAAGGCGACGAUCCCUAGCGGGGGUGAGAGGAUGACCAGCCACACUGGAACUGAGACACGGUCCAGACUCCUACGGGAGGCAGCAGUGGGGAAUAUUGCACAAUGGGCGAAAGCCUGAUGCAGCCAUGCCGCGUGUAUGAAGAAGGCCUUCGGAUUGUAAAGUACUUUCAGCGGGGAGGCGUUACCCACAGAAGAAGCACCGGCUAACUCCGUGCCAGCAGCCGCGGUAAUUC
rnacentral:rRNA from 1 species